rnacentral:lncRNA from 1 species
AUCCAGUAAAAAUUCCUCCCCUAGCCCUGCCCAAUGGGGGCCAUUUAGGGAAAGAGUAAAAUGAGACUGCUUGCUCCUUGUCUUCAGGCUGCUUUCAUACUAUUCUUCCAAAAUAAUCACUAAAUUCCGCUUCAGAAGAAAGCCUACACUGUUUGUCAUGGUGCUCCUCCACGUUUGCAUUACGUGUGUGUUCCAUAUUCUAAGACAGAGAAAGAAGAGCCUCAGGUGCCUACACUUGGUCAUGGAGUAUAUCUUCAGGAAUGUUCAUUGGAAGGAGGAAUGAAGAAGAAAUUGACCCGUCCAUUUUCUCUUGCCUCUCUUUGGCCAAGAUGGCACUAUGAGGAAUUAACUACCUUGCAUUCCAGCUUGCUGCUGCAUUUGUGCAGGAAAUAUUAAGCUUGCUGAUGAGAAAGGAGAAGAAGUAGAGAAAACAACGUACAGUUAGGCCUAUAGGAAUCUGCCGAGGGGAACUGACAAGCCCUGCUCAGUCUUGCCCACUGUCUGCUUGGAGGAUCAGGAUGAGUUUGUUUACUUGAGACUACAUAGGAGUCAAGAACACAUUAAUCCUGUGAUGAAUGGACACCUUGCCUCUUCUUAUCCUUGGCCUCCUUAUGAAACUACCACCAUCUUGUUAAUUUGGGAAGUUUGUUGCUUUAUCAUUUCUUACUAUUGAGAAAUCUAAAUGGCAUAACAUUGUAAUACAAUUGUAAUCUUUACAUUCCCUUAAAUAUAUCUGGAGCAAUUUUCCAUUUUAUUACAUAAUCUUCUACAGUACAAUUUUAAUAAAAC